rnacentral:rRNA from 1 species
ACCCGCUGAACUUAAGCAUAUCAAUAAGCGGAGGAAAAGAAACCAACAGGGAUUGCCUCAGUAACGGCGAGUGAAGCGGCAACAGCUCAAAUUUGAAAUCUGGCCUCACGGUCCGAGUUGUAAUUUGUAGAGGAUGCUUUUGGCGAGGUGCUUUCCGAGUUCCCUGGAACGGGACGCCAUAGAGGGUGAGAGCCCCGUACGGUAAGACCACCGAGCCUCUGUAAAGCUCCUUCGACGAGUCGAGUAGUUUGGGAAUGCUGCUCUAAAUGGGAGGUGUACGUCUUCUAAAGCUAAAUACCGGCCAGAGACCGAUAGCGCACAAGUAGAGUGAUCGAAAGAUGGAAAGCACUUUGGAAAGAGGGUUAAAAAGUACGUGAAAUUGUUGAAAGGGAAGCAUUCAUGACCAGACUUGGGCUUGGUUGAACAUCCGGCGUUCUCGCCGGUGCACUCUGCCAGUCCAGGCCAGCAUCAGUUUGCCCCGGGGGACAAAGGCGGUGGGAAUGUGGCUCUCUUCGGGGAGUGUUAUAGCCCGCCGUGUAAUGCCCUGGGGUGGACUGAGGAACGCGCUUCGGCACGGACCUUGGCAUAAUGAUUCUAUACCGCCCGUCUUGAAACUCGGACCAAGGAG